AGCUUGACGUUAGCGACAGAAGAAGCUCCGGCUAACUCCGUGCCAGCAGCCGCGGUAAUACGGAGGGAGCGAGCGUUAAUCGGAAUUACUGGGCGUAAAGCGCAUGCAGGCGGUUUAUUAAGUCAGAUGUGAAAGCCCUGGGCUCAACCUAGGAAAGUCAUUUGAAACUGGUAAACUAGAGUCUUGUAGAGGGGGGUAGAAUUUCAGGUGUAGCGGUGAAAUGCGUAGAGAUCUGAAGGAAUACCAGUGGCGAAGGCGGCCCCCUGGACAAAGACUGACGCUCAGAUGCGAAAGCGUGGGGAGCAAACGGGAUUAGAUACCCCGGUAGUCCACGCCGUAAACGAUGUCUACUUGAAGGUUGUGGCCUUGAGCCGUGGCUUUCGGAGCUAACGCGUUAAGUAGACCGCCUGGGGAGUACGGUCGCAAGAUUAAAACUCAAAUGAAUUGACGGGGGCCCGCACAAGCGGUGGAGCAUGUGGUUUAAUUCGAUGCAACGCGAAGAACCUUACCUACUCUUGACAUCCAGAGAAUUCGCUAGAGAUAGCUUAGUGCCUUCGGGAACUCUGAGACAGGUGCUGCAUGGCUGUCGUCAGCUCGUGUUGUGAAAUGUUGGGUUAAGUCCCGCAACGAGCGCAACCCUUAUCCUUGUUUGCCAGCACGUAAUGGUGGGA
rnacentral:rRNA from 1 species